AUUGAACGCUGGCGGUAGGCCUAACACAUGCAAGUCGAGCGAGCGGCGGACGGGUGAGUAAUGUAUGGGGACUGCCCGAUAGAGGGGGAUAACUACUGGAAACGGUGGCUAAUACCGCAUACUAUCGGAUAACCCAUAUGGGAUUAGCUAGUAGGUGGGGUAAAGGCUCACCUAGGCGACGAUCUCUAGCUGGUCUGAGAGGAUGAUCGGCCACACUGGAACUGAGACACGGCCCAGACGCCUACGGAGGCAGCAGUGGGGAAUAUUGCACAAUGGGCGCAAGCCUGAUGCAGCCAUGCCGCGGAUAUGAAGAAGGCCUUAGUGUUGUAAAGGACUUUCAUCGGGGGCGCGUUACCCGCAGCAGAAGCACCGGCUAACUCCGUGCCAGCAGCCGCGGUAAUAC
rnacentral:rRNA from 1 species